ensembl:lncRNA
GGGUGUCUUGUUUGGGGGGGGGCCACACACACACACACACACACACACACACACACACACACAAGGACUACACGCAGCAUUUUGAGAAUUACAUUGUUGCACAUUAUCCAAGGGCUUAGAGACGAUAGAAUAACGGACAGGAGGACAAAAUCCUGGUGCACAUCUGCAUCAACAUACUACGUGGACGCUGGAAACGACCACCGACAGAGAACUGAUGUGAAUAAUCAUAUGGAAGCUGAAUGCUGUUCAUUUAGUGCAACAUCCACAACAGUCUGCAGAAAUUUACAUUCCAGAGAGGAGGUGAAGUGGGUGUCUCUAUAUUCCAAAACUGCCCCGGCUUUAAGAAUGCAUCAUGAUGAAGUGUUAUGUGUCCUAAGAGGCACUGCAAGUUUGGAAGGUUGUCUGAAUCAAGAAGAGCAGCUGUAGGCACCCACAGCUGGAUUUCACUACCAUCCUGAUGCACUGCACCCUCUCGGACUGACAGGUUUUUUCUGGCAGCAAAUUGGCAGAGAGAAAGAGAACUCACACAGGUAGACCAGCAGCAUCCCAGAGAUUAUAGAUUUGGAGAUUACAUGACAACAGCAGAUCAGGGUACAUUGCCUUGUUGAAAUCCGAGUUCUCCACCUCACCAAUUCCAUUAAGAGCUGUUUUUGUGAAAUUGGCAAGCGAGUCCUGCGAUGCAACACAUUUGCAAGCACUCGGCCGAUCACAUACUCCACUAGCUGUUAGACAGAUGCAGUGUUAGAAGAAAAUCAGAUGAAUCUUCAAGCUACUUUCAUUGAAGACACCGUAAAGACCAAGGGACUAGCAUGGUGGGAUGUCUUUGCAUUUAAAGUAACUCACAGGGUACACUACUACUGCUGAAUGAAUGAGAUGGAAAACGUUUUGAGAGUGUUGUAGAAUGUUAGGCUAUUCAAGAUGUUUGCAAAAGGGCUUCAUUACAAGUCUGUGAGAAAACUCCACCCUUUUCCACCUCUGGCUGCAAAGUUUGACACGGUGGCUUGCUAGACGGAGCGUACUGACGUGGACAAACCGGAUUACAGUGACAAAUUUGGACUCGUAGAGGACCAUAAUGGAACAGACACAGAUGACAGCCUAGCUUGUCUGGCACUGGGAUGUCAUAACCACAGAGUGGGAUAUUCCUCCAACUGUCACUGCAGGGAGAAUAGAGCCGAUCACACACACGCCUACAAGCAGACUGAUUUUUAGAGGCAAAAGACUGGUGUAUGUGUGAACUGUGGCAGUAUAGACAGUUCAAAAGUGUGAAAGAGAGAGCUGGAGGAGAUCACAUAGUGUAAGGGGAAGAGAGCUAAAAUAAAGAGCACUAAAAAGGCUCCA